AUUGAACGCUGGCGGCAGGCCUAACACAUGCAAGUCGAGCGGAUGAAGAGAGCUUGCUCUCUGAUUUAGCGGCGGACGGGUGAGUAAUGCCUAGGGAUCUGCCUGGUAGUGGGGGAUAACGUUCCGAAAGGAACGCUAAUACCGCGUACGUCCUACGGGAGAAAGCAGGGGACCUUCGGGCCUUGCGCUAUCAGAUGAGCCUAGGUCGGAUUAGCUAGUUGGUGAGGUAAUGGCUCACCAAGGCGACGAUCCGUAACUGGUCUGAUAGAAUGGUCAGUCACACUGGAACUGGGACCCAGCCAGAACUACUCCGGGAGCCAGCCGUGGGGAAUAUUGGACAAUGGGCGAAAGGCUAUUCCAGACAUGCCGCGUGUGUAAAUAAGGUCUUCGGAUUGUAAAGCACGUUAAGUUGGAAGGAAGGGCGUUUGGCUAAUAUCCAGGCGUUUUGACGUUACCAACAGAAUAAGCACCGGCUAACUUAGUGCCAGCCGCCGCGGUAAAAC
rnacentral:rRNA from 1 species